rnacentral:rRNA from 1 species
AUACGGAUGGUGCGAGCGUUGUUCGGAAUUACUGGGCGUAAAGGGCGCGUAGGCGGCGAUGUAAGUCAAAUGUGAAAGUCCUCGGCUUAACCGGGGAAGUGCAUCUGAAACUGCAUUGCUUGAGUAUGGGAGAGGAAAGUGGAAUUCCCGGUGUAGAGGUGAAAUUCGUAGAGAUCAGGAGGAAUACCGGUGGCGAAGGCGACUUUCUGGACCAAUACUGACGCUGAGGCGCGAAAGCGUGGGGAGCAAACAGGAUUAGAAACCCUAGUAGUCC